CUUCAGGGUCACGUGGAACCUAGUGGCCACCAUCCUGCCCAACGAUCACCUACAGCUCUCAGACUCUCUUAGAGCCAAAUCUUCAGAAGCCCUGGCUUUUGUUUCCUGCGAAGAUGCCUUCCCUGCCCUCUG